rnacentral:misc_RNA from 1 species
CCUAGAGUUGUAGGACUUCGGUCUGCUAUCCUCUUACCCAUGUCUUUUGAGUACCUUACGUUUCCUCGGUGGGUUCCGCCCAGCCGGAUUGGACAAACAUUAAACCCUUUGCAGUUGAAAUCAGCGUCUGAAAAAACUUAAUAGUUA